UAAAGUACUCUAUGGUGCUCAAUCGAUUUAGAUCCCCAUUUUGGAGAACCUUCUUAGGAUAACUGGUAUGGCAAAGGGCCUCAAGUCCUCCGCAUACAAGGAUCUAUUGAAGAGAGGCACUCUUUUGCCAUGGAUGUGUUCAGUAUCUUCUGUGUACUGGUACUGAUAAUAAUAAACAUCAAUCAAAGUUUAUUGAGCAUCUACUGUGUGCCAGGCACUGAGGGUUGAGUCUCUUCAGAUGUUUCUGGCUUCCAGCUACAAGAGAGAAGAUGGAAGAGAUCAACCCACUUCAGGCUACUGAGGGAAAAGACUCUCAGAAGACAUGAGUGAAACCACAGCUACCCCACACUUGCUACACUAGAGAUGAUGGGAAAUUUCCUCUUGGGAGAGAUCAUGGAAUGUCUCUCUUGAUUGAGCUCAAUCUUUAUGGGAGAUUUCCUUCACUCUGUAUUCAUUCUGCAUUGUCUGGACUUCAAAAGAUCCAUGAUUUCAUCAGUGUGAUAACAGACAGCAUUUCAUAAAUUGCUGCUGCAGCCUCUCCCCCACCCAAAAAAAAUAAAAAUAAAAUGAUUACAUGAUGGCCA
rnacentral:lncRNA from 1 species